ensembl:lncRNA
AAAAGGAGAAGUAGUCAGUAUGAGGAAAUUAUUUUGAUGAAGAAAUAAAUAGAUGCAGUGAAAGUCUGUCCAGCAUGAAUCACAUGAUACACGUGUCAGUUUUUUGAAUGUUAAUUCCUAUUUUUGAAGCGUCAAACAAACAGUAUAUAAGCACUGAUCUUAGUGCUGUUUAGCACCUUCUCACUGGAAGGCUGAAGCUAUCGGUCGGUGCUGAAAUGAAAUCUACUCUACAAAUAUUCUACAUAUUCUCCAGAAGGUCUGCAACAAAAUCUGUUCUAUCCUAUUUUUUAAUGAUGUCUUGAUGUCUUCUGUUUUUCACAGAGAUAUUAAAGAUCACCAUGAGGCUGCUGACUGUGUUUGUGUUUCUUUGUGUAAUGGUCCCUCUGAUCAUUACUGCUCAAAAAUCGGGCAGCAGUGGGGCAGAGAAUAAUCCACAAGAAGAGCAAGCUGUUGACAAGAGGAUCCUGUGGCAUUGGCGCAAAACUUAUCGUUGCGUUAGAUGGCGAUGGGUAUGGAGAAAGCGAUGGGGGAAAGACGUGAACGAAUAAUAUAUAUACGCUCACCACUGAUACCGAUUUUGUCUGGGUCUGAAAAAGAAGAUGAUUCCUGGUCUUUCAUGAAAAUGGUCCAUCAGACAGAGAAGCAAAUACUUUCAUCCAACUCCCUGAACUAUCAGUUUCCCCUUUUACAUCUUUACUUAUUUUCUUUUGCUGUAUUGCUGCAUAAAGAAUGAAGCAACAAGUGACACAAACUGGAGUCGACCGGACUGUCUCUUUUAAUAACAAAAACUAUUCAUUUCUGUUCUUAUUAUCUUCAUCAUUAAACUCUUAAGCAUUAAAUGAAAUUGGUCUCUGAGUCUGUCACAUGUCACCUUUUUUAUUGGUCUAAACCCAAACACCAAAUUUGUUUUUCAUCUAUCUUCGUUUUAAAAUACCUAAAUAGAAAAUAACAAGUCUGACCUGCUAAUAUCUGACUGAGCUCAAAGCAUUUACUAAGAUCCUAAACAAUAACCUGAAUAAAGUAUUAAUAUUAAGUUGGUCUAAUGAUAAUUUCCAGAAUUGAUCUCAGCUACUGUUUGAUAUGCGAGUAAACAAAGCAGAUGAUAAAAGAAAAAGGACUCAUAAAAUACCUUUUCAAAAGGACACAUUUUAUUUUUGUCUUCAUUGAUACAAAUACAUUGUUGUCAUAUUUGACAACAAUAAGGAGAACAGUGGUUUUCCUCCCAACUUUUGACCAAUCACCUUAGUUUCCUGUUUAUCACACAUAAAAAAAGCAUUACAGUGGUAACUAGUGUUGUUUUUUAUGAGAGUAGACAAAUAUGCUUGAAUUAAAAGUUUUCACAAUUUAUUAUCAAAUGGUUAGAAUUUCAGAUUAUUUUACACAACUCCAUGGAGCUCUUUCUCUCUGGCUCAGAGACAAAGGCUGCUGUGCCUCAGCAGUAAAUGCAUAUAAAAUGAGGGCGAUUUAGACUUGUAGUCAAGACCACCUUAACCAAGACCAAGACAAAGUCGAGACGAG